UCACCUGACGGGAAGCCCCGCCCCGCCCGCGGGCGUCACGUAGCCGCUUUCCCAGGGGCGAAGGUGGGGGCAGGCUCGGCCGCCUGGCCCUGCGCCCGGACUACCCCGCCCGGUGGCGAGGAGACUUGGUCUGGGUCAAGAGGCACGAGGCUAAAACCCUGGAGCCGUGCUGGAAAGGACCGCACGCACACCGUGAUCCUGACCACGUCCACGGCCGUGAAGGUGGAUGGUGUCCAAACCUAGAUUCAUCACUCUCAGGUGAUGAUAAAACGAUGUGAUCGGCCUUAAAAACUCUGUACCCCGGCUGUUCGAGGCCGCACUCUGAUCAAGAGUGGUGGUCCCAAUCGGUCUGCCUUGCCUCUCAUUGCAAUAAACUUUGUUGUGACUGUCA